rnacentral:rRNA from 1 species
GUGAUUAUGGCGGAGGUGCCAUACCCGUUCCCAUCCCGAACACGGAAGUCAAGCCCUCCCGCGCCGAUGAUACUGCCUCUUAAGGGGCGGGAAAGUAGGUCGUCGCCAGGC